rnacentral:misc_RNA from 1 species
ACUAUCUACUUUCUUCAAAGAGGACGAUAAAAAUACAAUACAAUAUUUUUUGAACAAUUUUCUUUGUCUCUUUUUGCAGGUGCAAAAACGCGACUAUAGAAGGACGCAGGUACCAUAGUAUCCCAGCUGCUACAUCUACAAUUUUUCCAUUUCGCAUUUACUCGUCAGUGAAAGGUUGCGACGAAAUAAAAUAAUAUUACAAGUAAGUAUUAAAUUGAUAUAGUAUUGAAACGUUUAUAAUAAUCAUUAAAAAUAAGAUUCAGUACACGUAUAAUUGCAUCUGUUUAUUUGGCAGCAUUCAGAAUUCAAGGAUCAAUAAGAAAUGUUUAAUAGCAGUUGUUCAUCCUCAUACAUUGAAACAACAUACAGCCAGGAUAUGAGAAUAGAGACUACUAAGAGGCGAGUUAGAUGAAUUGGUAGAUCUCGAUUCCGAUGACUGCGAUUUAAUUUUAACCAAACAAGAAAAGAAACGUUUAAAUGCAAAACGCCGAGCUAUACUAAAGAGAAUGAUUCCACCGAAAAGAUACCCCACCAGAAAUGCAGAUAUUGACUAAAAAUAAUUAUUGUUGGUUUAUAUACAUAUUUAUAUUUGAUGUGAUAUUUA